ensembl:lncRNA
GGGACCCACCGGCCCAACGCAAGGGCGCUCCCCGGCGCCUCUGCGCCGUCCGCGCGCCGCCCUCCUCUGGGCCCUAAUCGUGUUCCCAAGCGCAGUGCGCACGCGCGCGCUUCGCCCCAGGCGUCCAGCUUUGUGCCUGAUCGCUGUCUCCACGGCCGCGUCCGGGGGGUAGCGUUUAACCCGGGCUGGUCUUCGGGGAAGAGCAGCGUGUCCCCCGGACCCAGCGCGCCGCUGGGCCUCAGCGGCGAGAGGGCCCGGGGGGCCGGGCCUGCGGGUGUCGGGCGGCGCGUCGGGCAGCCCACGCGGGCGGGGCGGGCCCCCAACUCGGGCCUGGGCGUCGGUCGCCGGUGGGGCCGGAGCCCGGGUGGAGCCCCUGGCAGGACAGUGAGCAGAGCAGCACGCCCAAACUGACGACUUACGAAUACAGUGUGCUUAAGGUCCUGAGAGUCCAGGAGCUCUGAGGUGAAGAUUGACACUUUACCUGACGCAGUGCCAAAGCCCAAGCCACGGGACGUUAAAGAUAGUAGUUAACGGUAACUGUUUUCAAAAGGCGUUUUGUGCUCAAAUAUGUUUAGAAACUUCAUGGUUAGGGUUUUCUCUGCUGUAGAAUGUUUCAGUUUUCAAUAUGCUGAUGAUAUUUACCUUGAACUUCCCACUGGAAGUAAACAGUAUGGAGAGUUUCCCAGAUUUGAAUGGAAAAUACUGUUUUUCUUGGGCACUGCUUCUGUUUAACAUAUGAAACGGUUUGGGAAAUGGAGUUCCAGCAUCGGCAACUCAAGAUUUGGAAGGGUGUAGUGUAGGUCAGUGCUUUUUGAACUUUAGUGGCGCAUGCUUAUGCCUGAGCUAGCCUGCUGGAAAAUGAGAAAGCCUGGACACCCUGUCACUUAGCCAACCGGACAACAUGUGGAAAGGCUGAGACCAAAGGGGCUGCCCAGCCCAGCUCAGCCUAAGCUGCUGACCCACAGACUCAUGAGCUAAAAAGAGUUUAUUAUUAAUUUUUGGUUGUUUUUUAUGCAACAUUCUCGUGGCACUAGAUAAAUGAAACAGUAGCAACCCCGAAAAAGACUGAAUAGAGCAGAGCCAUUACAUCCACCAACGCCGUCGGGUUCCCAAAGCGAUUAGGUUUUUCUGUGCUGUCACGUGAGACUUCCGGGUUUGCACGUUACUGUAGUGGAGCCAGUCCUUCCUGACUGAUCCACAGGAAGCAGAUCACAGGCCCCCUGCCUGCCCCAGUGCCUCAGAGACCUGAGCAGAGGGGAGGCGGUAGGUAAACUGGAAGCAAGGGAGAGCGACUAGCCUGUAGAUCAUGGAGAAGAAGAACUGGCCCGUCUUCUGGAAGCCCACGCGCUGGUAGAGGGCCAGGGCGGAGUACUGCAGCGCACUGGUGCUGAGGACCACUUCACGGUAGCCCUGGUCCCGUGCGAACUGCAGGACCGCCCUGACCAGUGCUUUUGCGAUCCCCUGACCGCGGUGCUCCGAGGCCCCACAGGUGAAACAGCUCCAACUGCUCCUUUCGCACGGCGUGCUUCUUGACAGGCAGUGCUCCCACCAUGCCCACCACCUGCCCCUCGGACUCCGCCACCCAGAAGCAGGAGCCACUCUCACUGAAGUAGGAUUUGCUGAUGUCAGACAUGUC